UCCGUAGGAUGCCAGCGUUGUCCGGAUUUACUGGGCGUAAAGCGCGCGCAGGCGGCACUGUAAGUCAGGUGUGAAAUAUCCCUGCUCAACGGGGAGGGUGCACUUUAGACUGCAGAGCUAGAGGACGGUAGAGGGGGGUGGAAUUGCUGGUGUAGCGGUGAAAUGCGUAGAGAUCAGCAGGAACACCCGUGGCGAAGGCGGCCCCCUGGGCCGAACCUGACGCUGAGGCGCGAAGGCUAGGGGAGCGAACGGG
rnacentral:rRNA from 1 species